rnacentral:rRNA from 1 species
CAACGUAGGUAAUCUACCUUCGGGUGGGGAAUAACCCAGGGAAACUUGGGCUAACACCGCAUAAUGCAGCGGCACCACAUGGUGACAGUUGUUAAAGCGGGGGAUUUUAGGACCUCGCGCCUGAAGAGGAGCCUGCGGCGGAUUAGCUAGUUGGUGAGGUAACGGCUCACCAAGGUAACGAUCCGUAGCCGGCCUGAGAGGGCGGUCGGCCACACUGACACUGACAUACGGGUCAG